UUUGAGGGGAAUGUUGUCUGGCACGAAGUCACCAUAUCUAACUUCAAAACAUGAUAUUAUAUAUAUAUAUAUAUAUAUAUAGACACACAUGCAUCAUUAUAUACAAAUAUCAUACCUUCGGACCAGGCUUCAUUCCCCUCAAU
rnacentral:pre_miRNA from 1 species